UUAAAAUUCUGGACAAUGAAAUUAAACGAAAUGGAAAUGCCCAUUAUUUAUCAGAUGUUGUUAUAAAAAAAUAUGUUAGUUUGUUAAAAAGUGGUUAAAUUUAAGAAAAAUAAAUCUCAUUCAAUCAGAUGCUUUAAUAUAAUUGAAAUUUUAAAAUGAUAUGGAUGAAACAAUUGUAUAAAAAAAAAGUCAAUUAUAUUUUUCUUCUAACUGUGAUUGGAUGUACUUGUUUUUUGUUAUCACAAUUUCUUUAUUUAUCACGUCUAAAUAAAGACACAAGUCAAAUUAAUCACUCGUCAAAUCAUCACAAGCAAAACGUUGCUAUCAAUAAAAUAAUGUCAAAAUGGAAUGAAUCUAAACAUUCAAAAUUGGUUAAAGAUAAAGAUGGAAAUAGCGUUUCUUUAAGAGGAACACAUAGUCGAGAUAUUGUUAAAUAUCUUCCAAAUGUACGAGGUAAUUUUGUUUGUAUUACUUCUAAGGAGGAGAUAGACUAUUUUAAAAUUAAUGACAAUUAUUGUGAUUGUCCACUUGAUGGAAGUGAUGAAUCGGGAACAAAUGCUUGCAAUAAUGGUGUAUUUUAUUGCGAAAUGUCUUCAAAAAGAUUUCCAGCUAAAAUAUCAUCCUACAAAGUCAAUGAUGGAGUUUGUGAUUGUUGUGACGGUAGCGACGAAUGGUCAGAAAUUACUUUAUUUGAUACAUCUGCAAAUAAACACAGUCUUCAAAGUGCUUGUCCAAAUAGGUGUUGAGAAUAUUGUUAGAAUGUGCACGAAACGACUGAUUUUCAACGACACUUAUCGAGAGUUUACUUCAAGCAAUUCUUUUUUUUAAUAAUCGAAGAUGAUCAACGACAACGGGUUGAUCUUCGAAAUGAAAAACUCGUUGUAUAUUGGCUCCUUUUUUUUGCAAAAUAUCAGUAAAGAUUUCUUCCUCAAUACGAAUCCAUGGCCGAUUCUCAUCUCUUACUUCGUAUGGAGUGACAUGUACAUGAAUAUCAAUUUCUAAAAUAUUUUUUCAAAAGAAAAAUUAUUCCAUUUUUUAUAAACAUAAUUUAAAAAUAGUAAUUUAAAAAUUAUAAAUAAUAAAAUUAUUUAUAUCUACUUAAAUAUUUAAUGAUAAUGUUUAUGAUAACAUUAGUUAAUAAUUAAAAAUUUUAAAGACGUUAAAAUCUUGCUUGUAAAAAUUUGAGCAAAGACAAAAAUAUACUUUAGAUUGUAAAUAAUUAAAAAAAUAAUUAAUUCCCUUGAUUUAUUUUUAGUGAGUUUAUAAUAAAAACUGAAGUUACUAAGUUUGAAUAAAUACCCAUUUUUAUAAACGA